UAGACUAAUUCAAAGCUGGAGGUUGGCUGAUCCUGAAAUCCAUUUAUACAGGACAAACAGGCACUCAGCAGGGACAAAGAGCGAACACACUGUCAAAAUAAUUCCGUCUGCAUUUCUGGCUGCACACCCAGGGUGAACACAGAGCAAGCGCGCUUCUCCAACUUCAGAAACAAAAAGAUACACGAGAGACUGCAGCACCAUCCUGACUGAAGGCUUCACGAUCUGCUUCCCUCACGUGACAAGAACAGGUAGCUAAGGAAUGCAGUUCACUGGAUUCCCAGCAGAAACCCGAACACAAGAGACCCAAGACAGCAGGAUGCACAAGAGGACUGGAGAACGCUGAAGAAAAUGCAUCAAAUCCAUGCACUUGCACGGGUAACGGGAACUACAAGGAAGAGUCGCUAAAAGAAACAAACAAAACCCACUAAAAACAGAAGCAUACCAAAACCUGCAAAGUUCCACCCCCUCCUGGGGUUUUUCCUCUACCCUCAAAUGCAAAUUAUUCUCCAUGUGCAGUUUCCAGUAAAUCAAACUAUGCUAAAUAACCCCGACAUGUGCAGGGCUGAGAACCAGCCAACAAGCAAUGAUGAGAUGUCCCUGGAAUGAUUAAGGAAAAUGCAGACAUCUCUCAGGUUACAAGGAAGCCUGUUGUACUCUCCCCUUAGUGCAUAUGCAAUGCUGCAAGCACUGUUCCGAAAACCUCUGAUAUUCAAAGGCUCAUUUGGUUGACAAGGAGCCUGUGGAUUCGUGGACAGAUUGUCACACAAACUGUCAGGUUUUUAGAGAGACUAUCAGACCUCUCUUUGCCUACGUUAUGGAGCACAUCAAAGACACAGAAGAUGAACCAGACGCAGACUGCACAGAUCUGACAGAAUGAGCUAUUUAGCCUCGUCAGAAGAGGACAAGGGGUAGAAGAGAUCUCUGUAGCUGGCAAAGAGAUUGUGAAGUCUCCAAAGACAAGCCCAGAAGGACCAUGGAAUGCCAAUCAGGUGGAGAGAGGCACUUUCACAGGGGGGCUAUUAAGCCAUAAAUAUUAACACAGAAAUCAAACACUCACAGAGAGCACAGGCAGCCACACAAAUGCGUCAUUCCCAUACUCCAGCAGAGACCACUGCUUCACAGUCACAACCCUGGUGCAGCACGUAACCCACAGCCUCCAAUAGCUCUUGGUGACCAUCAGCUUAGUAUUGUACUUUCACCACAGAAUCCAGGCAGAGGAAAGGCACUUCUCUCUUUUAGCCCAUUAUAGAAUAAUACAAAUAAUUACUUAUUAACAUUAAACCAGAAAAAUCUCAUAAAGUCUUGCUGCCAAGGCAUCUCAGGAACAUAAAUGGAAGAAUGUCACAUGUAUAGUGUACCAUACAUCCAUAGAUGCAAACAAAAUCUACUCUCAGAUUUUAAUCUCUAAACCAUCUCUAACAGUAAGGAGCACUACGUGCAAACAACAGCAGACCUUGACACCAGGACUAAAUGAGGAAGAAGUAACAGUGGGCUUAAAGCUCCAAAACAAAUAUUUUGGUAUAAGCAUCGUAAUUAUUGAGGGUUUCUUUCUGUAGCUGAUAAAACUUUGUGACAAGAAAAUGCUUGGGACACAAUGUUAUAAGCAGGGGUUUUUUCAGGCUCAUGAAAAAAGUAUCAGUUUUUCACCUACAUCUACUGGGUAAGGCCAAACAAAGGAUCCUAGACCUUCAACUGGGGAGCGUUUGGGCUCAGAAAUCAGACAACAGGAACACAAAGAAGAGACAGAACUAUACAUUUAUUGGAGAACAACAGGAGAGAAGGAAAAAAAAAAAAAAAAAAAAAAAAUCAACCACCACAAACACUGCAGACCCGGAGCCAAAUCCUCUCUCCACAGAACAAGUGAACACACAACAGACUUGAACACAGCACUGUCCUAUUUCCAGCCAGCAAGGACAAACUGUGUUCCUCACCGGGACGCCCUUUGCCUAGCAAAGAAAUCGACAGCUAGGACACAAUUACAUUUUUUUUGUUCUUCCUGCAACAAACCCUUACCUCCAACUGGAGGAAGAGUUAUCUCGGUGCCACACGAAUGAGUGAUUACCCAUCAGGAAGUAAUGGCUUUUUGCUGCUGCUAACGGAAGCUGUACCUCAACAAAUAACCUAAAGGUGAAAGGUCUCAUAUACUACACUUAAUUCCCUAAACAGCCAAAGGAAAUUUUGUGGUAUACAUACCUAUUGUGAAAAAUGAAGGUAAAAAAAUUCAUAUACAUGCCCAGAUGGGCACACAAUACAGCAUUUUUACACACCCAUAUGAGUCAACUUCUCUGUCUCAAGAACCACAGUCCAGCCAGUUCAAGGCUUGCUGCAUGUCAGAGCAAAUUAUAUGAUUUCUGUACACAGUCCAAUGCAUCAUAAGACAUCCUAUGGGGGUGGGGAAACCCAGGCACUCCUCAGUUGACCCAGGCAUGCAAGCUCACAGCAACCUUGCUGCUUGAAAUUAUGUAAGCUAAAAUUUGGCUUCUGUUCAGAAGAAUGAGGAGGGAGAAGUAAAGAGAAGGAAUUAAUCCUUUGUUUCUUAUGAAAAGACCUCAAAUGCAAUAAUUUGGAAGGAAAAGAAAAGCUAGCUCUUCUUGUAAAAUAACCUAGUUAUUACAAGUCUUCUCAGAUCAGAGGCUUAAGAGUAUUAUCAGCUCCCGCAUUUCCAACUCCCAUCUCUCGUUCCUCUGCAGCCCCUUGGAGGCUGGCACAGAUUAAACGGCGUCUCAGCAUUUUCUGGCUCUGUAGCUUUUCCUCACUGUCACUGCCCACAGGGCAGCAUCUUACCUCAUGGCUACUCCACUGGUGAAUACCCACCUACCCUACCAGGGCAAAACUCUCCUCUCCAAAUUUGUCAGGGUUUGAUACCCUGUAGUGCAUAUGAAACCUGUGUUUACUAUUUUUAUUUUAAAAAAAAAAACCACAAAAAUUUAGUGAUUUCGUAUUUAUUUACAAUGGGGCUGAACUGUGAAUGGGUAAACCAGGUAAUCCUCAUUAGAGUCAAGGUGUUUAAUGGUAAACUGCAAUUGGGAUCAUUCUUGGUACAGUACAACAUACACCCAAACUACCGGUUAAUCCCAAAACAAGGUAACAAAAACCCGACCACUCAUCAUCCUGGAAACAGGAGAUUCUGCAACAGGUCAAGUAAAUACCAUUUGCAGUGGCUCGAGACCUCAUGGCAAGGCUGAUGGUGCACAUAUAUUUAAGAACAUUAAAACAUGUUAUUUACAAGCUACUUCUGAGUCACUCUGGUCUCUUAGGAACGUGCAUUAUAUGUUCAAGAAAUUGGAGUAGUUCUUUUAUUUAUGUUUCUUUAAAAUGACUGGCAGAUGGGGAAAAACCUUCAGAGAAGUGGCCCUAGGCUGUCACGAAACAUGUAUUUAACACACCCACAGUAAACUACUAAACACACUCACUUCAGAAGAUACAGCCACUGUAAAUAUACAGAGUAGUCCCUUUUUAAAGUCUGAUAUCUGGACUACUUAAUUCAGCACAAAUUUGAGAUGUUCUGCAGAGUCUGCCCAAUUUACAGAGUAAUUAUCAGCCAUAUUUUCCAUUAACGUGAUGACAGCAUAUUCUGUAAGGGCAGAGCCAUAAUUUUAAGGGCCUUUUAAAAAAAAAUAAACCCAGGCCUUGGCUUUAUUUUUAGGUCGCAAUAGUGAUGACUUUUUUCCUGCCGCAUGUGGAAAGACUGCUGCGGGCUGAAACAGAAAUCUCAGAUUCCCCAAAGUCAGGCUCUUAUGCAAGUGGAUUCCAUACACACAGGGAAGUUUUGUCUACCUGAAACAAUUUCCAAGACUAAUUCUAAAUCUGGAAUAUCCCAAGAGAAGUGCAAGCUUCAAUCAUCCAAAUCCCAGCAGACAUACAGACUCCAGCCUAAGGUCUGGAACAUAUUUAAUCAAUUCACUGUGCUAACUCUCUACAGUUUCAUAAAAUAGCCAAUACUGCAAUAACAGGGCCCAAAAUUAAUUGUACACUAGUUGGCAAAUUACACAGAAAUAACAGGCAGCACUGGCAUUUACUGCAGCAAGAUAGUGUAGUUGAUGCUAAGGUACAACUGCACCACAGUAAAAAUAGGUGAGAGACAGAUCAGGGGUGUGUGCACACAGGUGUGUGUGUAUAUGUAUGUGCAGGUGAGCACUGCUUUCCAUUAGAAAAGCAGCAUUGGUUUUACUGGUGACAGUGCUACCUCUACACACACGCUUAUAAUUACCAUUCUGCUAUAAACAUGCACAUGCAGUACGAAGAGGGAGAAAACAGAAAUGUAAACUAUUAGGCAAUAAAAAAAUGGAUGAAAGGAAAAUUGGAUUGAAUAAAAAAUGGCAAGGGAGGGCAUCAGAAAUAUUAGAUAAUAGGGAAAGCUCUCAGAGGUGAGACAAAAGCACCCCUUGUUUUGCUCUUUUUGGACGAGACUUGACAAAUACUCUGGUGUUGAGUUCUAACAAAGAGACAAGAUCACAUUCUAGGUCUUUUUGUUCUGCCUUUAACAAGUCUUCAUAGUGAUACACUGAUGAGACCAGAUACCAGAUUGUUAUCUAAAUUCAGCUGCUAAAUUCAGUGUUAAGACACUAAGUUCAAACCACACAUUGCCACAUUUAUUUCACAAGUCGAGCCUGAGGAUGGAUUCCUCCAAGAUGAAGCAGCCCAUAAGCAUCAUUGUCUCCCUCUGCAAAAGUACUCUAAAUGCCAGGAAAACAAAAUCACCGUAAGGCUCUGACAGUUCACCCUUCAGCACACAGAUUGCGAACGCAUCUCUCCACUAAUCGUCCAGACCGAAGAGGAAGCAAACACUUAGCUGCUGUUUGCAUAGAGGCUGCUUGUAAUUUGAUGUAAUGUACUGUACAUCAGUCAACACAUAUUGAAGAGAGAACAUACACACUGCAGAGAAGGCAGAAAGGCAGCGCUGACACCCAACACAUUUUAUUUACCCUAUCGUAGAUGAUCUUUGAGUUCAUUAAAUUACCAAUCAAUUUAUCUGAUCUCUAAAAGCUGGUGUACUGAGGUAUAUUAACUACUAAACUUUACAAGCUUGCAGCAAAACAGCCAUUAAAUGGGCAAAUUGAGCACGGGGUACUGGAAGUCAGUUUGCAAGUUGGCCAAUGGCAACAACAAAGCAACCUCUCCCUGCGGACAGGGAGACAGGGGAGAAGCAUUAGGAAGGCAGACGCUGUACAGCCCUAAUGGAUACCAGCAGAAAGAAGAAAUUAGAGAUGCCAUACUCCCUGCUCCUACCCCAGCAUGACAUGUAAUGACUGUGAAUAACUGAAGAGAGGAAGAGGAUGGGAGGUCAGAACCAGUUCAGAUUACAAUUUCAAAUUCUUUUUUUUUUUUCAUUUUGUUCCCAUUCAGAAACACGCACACAGGACAAAAUCUUCAGUUCUCUAGAUAUUAAGGGCUGUGCCCAGAGAGACUGCUGGAGCCACCGCUGCCCAAAAAACAACGUCCACAAAGCCUCAGAUAGAGGAAGUGAUCUGGAUGAUUAGGACAGAUCAUAUCAGCCUAUUUCAGAAAACUAUACUGAGGAUUAUUCUUCUUGUGUUCAGAAGAUUAAAUCAACAGUUCGAUGAACUGGGUGCUUCGCUAUAUUGCUCCACUGGCCUGAAAGGCAAACUGCUUUUUUGGAUCACAGCUGCUGUAGGUUCACAUAAAGCACUGCUGUGUUUGUGGGAGGAAAGGUUUGCAGCAGAGGCAGGCGAUAAGAACUGAACAAAUUAAGUAAGAAAAAAAAUUGAAAUUGUAAAGAAUAUUGUAAGGCUCAAUUACGAAGGCAGGGACAAGAAAUAUACGUCUGAAAGGGAAACACAUUUUUUUAAGACCAGAACUUAGUUUUCACACUAGCUGUUCUUCCUCGAAGUGCCCCAACAGCUACAGCACUAAGCUAGUGGCUGGCAACACAGUGACUGGCGGCAAACAAAGCAGCCCUUACACACACAACAAUAGCUCACACACAGCCCUAGGAUGUUACAGGCCAUUUUAUUGAGAAAGCAAAUGCUGUUGGUGACACCUGCCAAGACAUAUCAACUCAUUUAGAAAAGGGCACCAAAUCUUUAAAUCCCACUGAGAGGGCAGAGGGUUUGGUUGAAGACAACACCUUAACGUGGCUCGCUUUUUCAAAGGUAGCUGAGUGCUCUCUGGGUCUCAUGGACAGACACAGCUCAGGAUCCCAACUCGGGGAACUGAUUCCUCAUCCUUUUCAACAGAAAUCCCCUGCCACAUUCACCAGGUAACAUCAAUUUGUUAAGCCCUGCAGAAUCUGCUUAAAACUGAUCAUGAAGACCCAACAUGGGCAUACUGUUCUGGAAGGCUUUUUUUUCCAGGUGGCUGUCACUUUCUCCACAGAGAUUUUUAUUGUGCUGAGUUAACUGGCCAAAAAGCACAGAAAUGACAAUGGACUCACAUGCAGGGGUGACCUUGGUGCACCGAAAGUGGGAGACUGCUCCAAGAAGCAGGACCAAGGCCAAUAAGAAUAACAAACAAAAAUAAGUUCACCUCUCAUUCUUUACACAUCCUAAAUGCUUUACAAACAUGAAUUAAAUGGUAAAUGCAAGGGCAAAAGGAGAUUAAUUUAAACAAACCCAACGAGGUGAAUGCCACACAAAAAUUACAAGAUUUCUGAAGCUAAGCAGAGAUAAAGGUACAGUCUACCUUAUUAAGAAAAAAAGAAGUAUUUGUUUAAUGCAUUCCUUUUCCACUUGCAUAAAUACUCUACAGCUUAUGAAUACCUCGUGCUACUUACUGUUCAGAAAAACUACAAGCAGAAAAACCUUGCAUAUUUAUGUAUACACUGUUCACAGUAGUCCACAGCCACCUAAUAAAAGAUAACAUGGGAGCUGGAGCUUAGGAAAACCUGAACAAGGAAGAGACAUUGUCUGUAGCAAGGAGUUUCACUUCAUCUGCUGAGAAUACCUUCAGCCUUUCUUGCUGUUUUACACUGCUCCAAAAAGCUGCCCAUGUUUUGCUAUACUGUAACACUGCCCUUCACCUUUUUCAGGUUAAACACAGUCAAGAGGCCAAAUAGCAAAAGGAGUCAAACAAAUACUUACUUGGGAGAAAGUAUACAACUAAUAUGCUAUGUGAAACCUCCUGCCAUCUGAAGGGUUCCAGAAGAAACUGCUUUUCUUUCUUAUACUUUUUAAAGGAUGUUUCUGCCAUUUGGAGAAAGCAGGGCAAUGCAUACACUGAAUCCUUAAUAAAAAUCCCA